rnacentral:tRNA from 1 species
GAGGGUAUAGCUCAAGUGAUAGAGUGCAUGCUUAGCAUGCACAAGGUCCUGGGUUCAAUCCCCAGUACCUCG